rnacentral:rRNA from 1 species
UACGUAGGGUGCGAGCGUUGUCCGGAAUUAUUGGGCGUAAAGAGCUCGUAGGCGGUUUGUCGCGUCGGCCGUGAAAUCUCCACGCUUAACGUGGAGCGUGCGGUCGAUACGGGCAGACUUGAGUUCGGUAGGGGAGACUGGAAUUCCUGGUGUAGCGGUGAAAUGCGCAGAUAUCAGGAGGAACACCGGUGGCGAAGGCGGGUCUCUGGACCAUUACUGACGCUGAGGCACGAAAGCUAGGGGAGCAAACAGG